rnacentral:rRNA from 1 species
UACGUAGGCAGCGAGCGUUGUUCGGAGUUAUUGGGCGUAAAGAGCUCGUAGGCGGUCUGUCGCGUCGGCUGUGAAAUCCCGAGGCUCAACCUCGGGUCUGCAGUCGAUACGGGCAAACUAGAGUAUUGCAGGGGAGACUGGAAUUCCUGGUGUAGCGGUGAAAUGCGCAGAUAUCAGGAGGAACACCGGUGGCGAAGGCGGGUCUCUGGGCAAUAACUGACGCUGAGGAGCGAAAGCGUGGGGAGCGAACAGG